UUCUAAAUAAAUAAAAAGAAAGAAAAAGAAAUAAAGAUAGAAGGAAGAAUUGGAAAGGGAAUUAGCAAAUUGGUAUAAAAUGUACAAAACUUUGCCCAAGCAACAAACUCCAUGAAAAUGAGAAUGGACCAGAUAAAAACUCCACAAGUCAAUAAAAAAUUGUGAAAAUGAAUUUAAAAGACUAAAAAAGAAGAAAAAAAUGUAGGCUUUCUCAUUUAAAAAUAAAACUACUGAUCUGGAACUGAGUAGAGGACCUGAAAGCAAUGAUGGAAAAAGAACCCAGAUAUAUAUAAAGAAAACUGCCCAGAUCUCUUAGAAUCAGAAGAUGAUAGAAAAGUAGAAUCAACUGGUUAUCUCCUGAAAAAAAAAACCCUAAAUGAAAACUCCCCAAAACAUUAUAAUUUAAAUCUAGAGCUUCUAGGUUAAAGGAAAAAGUACUGCACAUGACCAAAAACAAUGAAUCAAAUAAAGGAACCUCACUCAGGAUCACAUACAAUUUAGCAGUCAUCUCUAUAGGAACAGAGAGUUUGGAAUGUGAUAUUCCAUAAAAGCAAAAGGCAUAGGUUUACAACUAUAAGUUGGUCCUACAAAAUUAAAAAUGGAUCUUUAAGGAAAUAAGGAAUUUCCAAGCAUUUCUAAUGAAAAGACUAGAACUGUUUAGAAACUCUGAAAUGCAAACACAGGAGUUAAAAGAUACAUGAAGUAAACAUGAGUAAGCAAUCACAAGAGACCAAGUAAGGACAAAUCACUCACAUUCUAAUGUGUGAAUCAUAUCACAUUAGGGGUUAUAGAGUGAGGUAAAUCAGACCUGGGAGUAAAUCUAUUAUCUUUUAAGGAUCCCCUCCUUUUAAAAAAAGUUUUACCAAUGUAUUGUUUUUUAGAUCAAAAACAUUUACUGAUAACCUACUUUUUGAGAGGUCUCUUGUUACAAAGUAAAGUAAAAAAAGUUGUCUCUUGUCUCUUGUUACAAAGUAAAACACAGUUACAUAAAACUAAUACUGUAACCUCAAUUGAAUGUUUGUGUAAUACUUCACCUCUGUAGCAUCCCCCCGCCUUAAAAAAAUGUAACAAAAAUCUAUUUUCUCUCCAUCUCACCUCCUACUCCACUAGGGGAAAAAAAAGAGAAAAAUUUCUUUGGACAAAUAUGUAUACUCAAGGAAGUCAUAAACCUUUGCCACUCUGAUGGGGGUGUGCAAGUAGAAGUCUCUGAAAUCAAGGAGGAAGGGGUAGGAGGAGUGGACAACACUGGCACCUUACUCUGAUCUGAAUCGGUUAAAGGAGGAGGGAGUGCAUGCCCAUGUACACACAUUGAGUACAGAAUUACAUUUUAAUCAACAAGGAAUCAGAAAGGAAAGGUGAAAAAGACUUGGAAACUGAAGAGAUGCCUAUCGAUUGGAGAACGGCUGAAUAAGUUGUGGCAUCUGGAUGUGAUGCAAUAGUGUUGUAGUGCUGUAAGAAAUGAUGAAGAGAAUGGAUCCACAGACACCUGGGAAGACUUUUUGAAAUGACAGAGUAAAGUGAGCAGAAGCAGGAGAAUAAUUUAUAUGAUAACAACAACACAGUAAAGACAAACAACUUUAAAAGCUUAGGGACUCUGAACAACGUAAGGCCAACCAAAAUUCCAGAGCAUUCAUGUUGAAACAUACUCAUCUUCUGAUAGAGAAAUGACGGCCUCCAAUGCAGAUGGAAACAUUUUCUUGGAUUAUGGCCAACAAAGUUAUUUGUUUUUCUAGAUUAUGUAUUUAUUAAAGAUUUUUGUUUUUCAUUCCUUUUUUAUAAGUUAUUUUAUUUAAUCAUGUAAUAACAUGGCAAUGUUAGCAUGAUAACAUGUAAUAACAAAUUUCCACAUAAGUUUUCCGAAAUUCUAUGAUCCAA